AACGAACGCUGGCGGCAUGCCUAACACAUGCAAGUCGAACGAGACCUUCGAGUCUAGUGGCGCACGGGUGCGUAACGCGUGGGAACCUGCCCUUAGGUUCGGAAUAACUCCCCGAAAGGGGUGCUAAUACCGGAUAAUGUCUUCGGACCAAAGAUUUAUCGCCUUUGGAUGGGCCCGCGUUGGAUUAGCUAGUUGGUAGGGUAAUAGCCUACCAAGGCGACGAUCCAUAGCUGGUCUGAGAGGAUGAUCAGCCACACUGGGACUGAGACACGGCCCAGACUCCUACGGGAGGCAGCAGUGGGGAAUAUUGGACAAUGGGCGAAAGCCUGAUCCAGCAAUGCCGCGUGAGUGAUGAAGGCCUUAGGGUUGUAAAGCUCUUUUACCCGGGAUGAUAAUGACAGUACCGGGAGAAUAAGCUCCGGCUAACUCCGUG
rnacentral:rRNA from 1 species